CCAGGAUUGGCUGCCCCUUCAUAACCAUAAGAUAAUUAAAACGAGGGGGGGGGCAGGGUUAAAAAAACUUUUUUAUCAGCCAGAGGUUAAUGCAAGUGUUUAACAGAUGCUUCAUUAUUAAAAUAUUUUUUCCCCCCAACUCUCAAAUAUUGAAGAAUCUCAGACCAGGGACACCAGCCCCUCCGAAGACCUUGGGCGAUUUCAAAGCGCAGGCACCUCGAUUCCCCGAAUUUGUGGUGUAGCGGGUCCCGGUGUUCCCCUGUUUUAACUAGCCUGUUUGCAAAUUGUAUACACGCCAGCAAUAUUUUCUUCCAAGCCGGGAGGAAAUCAUUCAACAUUCAGAGGAGGAAGUAAUUGCAAGUUUGCAUACAGGCUCUGUGGAAACAGAGCCCGAGGACGCAGCCAGACAACUGCGGGCCGGGCCGGGCCGGGCCGGGUCGCCUCCCCGGGGAUCGCAAGGCCUCAGCCCUCGAAGGACAGUGUGCGCCCCAGACUGAGAUGCGGGGCUGCAGCCACAGCCCGGGACCGUUAGGGUGCAGGGGGCGCCACCCCGCACUUUUAGGCCUCUGCGUUGGCUGCUGGGCCGCUCCUGGUUAACGUCUCCUUUUGAUGCCACCGCCGCCCAGGAGGCCGGUUCUCCGCCACUCAGGCCCAGGCGGGUCGCCGCUGCCGGGCGGGAGGGACCUCCCCCGGCGGCCCCCGGCGGAUCCCGGAGGACUGUUCGGCGGAGGCGGGCAGCAAGGGGUUAACCGCGUCCCUCCCCCACCGCGCCCGGCACGCGGGGCGAAGGCCGCCGCCUCCCUCCCGAGGUCUCAUUAGGGGAACCCUCACCGCUAUUUUCAACAUUUCCUCAAUCAAGUGCCUUUAAAUAGAGCUGCACAAAUAAAUUGGCGGCAAAAGCGUAGAUCUUGUCACGACCGCGACCAAUCCCAAUAUUUCAGCCGUGUUUGCUUUGCAAUUACGGGUUGGCUGGUGGCAGCGGUGCCACCGGGGCCAAUCUGCAGCCGCCCGGCUUCUCCUCGGCUCCCCGGGGCGGGUGCGGGCGGCCGGCGGCCCGGGGAGCCCCCGCGGGGGAACCGGGCGGCUCCGGGGGAGGGGCCGCGAGGGGGCGCGGGCGGCCGAGCUUCCCUCCGCCGCGCGCACAGGGCGCGCAGGGCGCUGGCCGAGGGAUCGGACCCCGCAGGCUCCCGCCGGAGCCGCGGAGGCGGCUUCACCAACAAUGAAAGCAGCAGCACGCACGUGGCCAUCGCGUCGCGUCCUUCCUGACCCUUUCCCUCCUCUCCCCGCUCUUCCCUCCCCGCUCUUCCCUCCCCGAGACCCGCUGCUCCGGUGUUUGUUAGCGGUUCCUGGACUUUCCUCCCGCCCCUCCCGCCCCCCCUCGCUGUUAAACUGCUAGCAUGAUUUGUUACAUUUUCCAUAGCUGCUUAUUCUGGUUUGACUUGGGGAACAAAGUCACUUUAAAUCCUCGGCAGGAAGAGCGAAGCUCCGAGCCCCUUGGAAGGGCUCCCGCGGGCGCGUGGCCGCCCCGGCCCCCCCGCCCCCGGCCCCCACGCGGCGGCGCGUCCGCGCGAAUCCGCCGCCGGACGCGGGCGGUCCCCGCGCAGCCAGCCGGGCGGUGGCCGCAGCACAGUAGUUCGCUGCAAUCAGGUCCUAAGCCUUGUAUUUCACAGACAAUUACAUCUUGGCGGCUGUUGAACAAAAAUGUAAUAUUUACUCUGCGCUACACCGAGGAGCACUUUCAAAGUCGCAAAACAAAAUACUACAUUUCAAAAAAGAAAA